GAUGGUAGUGUAUUGGACUACCGUGGCAUUAACGGGUAACGGAGAAUUAGGGUUCGAUUCCGGAGAGGGAGCCUGAGAAAUGGCUACCACAUCUAAGGAAGGCAGCAGGCGCGUAAAUUACCCAAUCCUGAUUCAGGGAGGUAGUGACAAGAAAUAACAACUCGGGUCUCUUUAUGGGAUUACGAGAUUGCAAUGAGAACAAUUUAAACCACUUAUCGAGGAACAAUUGGAGGGCAAGUCUGGUGCCAGCAGCCGCGGUAAUA
rnacentral:rRNA from 1 species